rnacentral:rRNA from 1 species
GAUGAACGCUGGCGGCGUGCUUAACACAUGCAAGUCGAACGAGAAGUGGAGACGGAAACCUUCGGGCGGAAGACUUUAUUUCGAGUGGCGGACGGGUGAGUAACGCGUGGGUAACCUGCCUCAUACAGGGGGAUAACAGUUGGAAACGACUGUUAAUACCGCAUAAGACCACAGCACCGCAUGGUGCGGGGGUAAAAACUCCGGUGGUAUGAGAUGGACCCGCGUUCGAUUAGCCAGUUGGCGGGGUAACGGCCCACCAAAGCGACGAUCGAUAGCCGAUCUGAGAGGAUGACCGGCCACAUUGGGACUGAGACACGGCUCAAACUCCUACGGGAGGCAGCAGUGGGGAAUAUUGCACAAUGGGGGAAACCCUGAUGCAGCGACGCCGCGUGAGUGAAGAAGUAUUUCGGUAUGUAAAGCUCUAUCAGCAGGGAAGAAAAUGACGGUACCUGAGGAAGAAGCCCCGGCUAACUACGUG